rnacentral:rRNA from 1 species
UGGGGAAUAUUGCACAAUGGGCGCAAGCCUGAUGCAGCCAUGCCGCGUGUGUGAAGAAGGCCUUCGGGUUGUAAAGCACUUUCAGCGAGGAGGAAGGUGGUGAGCUUAAUACGCUCAUCAAUUGACGUUACUCGCAGAAGAAGCACCGGCUAACUCCGUGCCAGCAGCCGCGGUAAUACGGAGGGUGCAAGCGUUAAUCGGAAUUACUGGGCGUAAAGCGCACGCAGGCGGUUUGUUAAGUCAGAUGUGAAAUCCCCGGGCUCAACCUGGGAACUGCAUUUGAAACUGGCAAGCUAGAGUCUCGUAGAGGGGGGUAGAAUUCCAGGUGUAGCGGUGAAAUGCGUAGAGAUCUGGAGGAAUACCGGUGGCGAAGGCGGCCCCCUGGACGAAGACUGACGCUCAGGUGCGAAAGCGUGGGGCAGCAAACAGGAUUAGAUACCCUGGUAGUCCACGCUGUAAACGAUGUCGAUUUUGGAGGUUGUGCCCCUUGAGGCGUGGNUUCCGGAGCUAA